rnacentral:pre_miRNA from 1 species
AUGCUACUCCCUCCGUCCCAAAAUUCUUGUCUUAGAUUUGUCUAAAUACGGAUGUAUCAAGUCACGUUUUAGUAUUAGAUACAUCCGUAUCUAGACGAAUCUAAGACAAGAAUUUUGGGACGGAGGGAGUAUAAA